rnacentral:rRNA from 1 species
AGUGAACGCUGGCGGUAGGCCUAACACAUGCAAGUCGAACGGCAGCACAGUAAGAGCUUGCUCUUACGGGUGGCGAGUGGCGGACGGGUGAGGAAUACAUCGGAAUCUACUUUUUCGUGGGGGAUAACGUAGGGAAACUUACGCUAAUACCGCAUACGACCUACGGGUGAAAGCAGGGGAUCUUCGGACCUUGCGCGAUUGAAUGAGCCGAUGUCGGAUUAGCUAGUUGGCGGGGUAAAGGCCCACCAAGGCGACGAUCCGUAGCUGGCCUGAGAGGAUGAGAGGCCACCUGUGAAGUGAGACAGGGUCCGGACCUCUACGGGAGGCAGCAGGAGGGAAUGUUGCACAAGGGGCGCAAGCCUGACCCAGCAAUGCCGCGUGAGGGAAGAGGGUCUUCGGAUUGUAAAGCUCUGUUGUUGGGAAAGAAAAGAUGCGUAAGUAACUCCUCCUAUACUGACGGUACCUAAACAGAAAGCCCCGGCUAACUACGUG